AUAGCGUAUAUUAAAGUUGUUGCAGUUAAAAAGCUCGUAGUUGAAUUUUUGAUCUGGCCGAUAGUACGACCGCGAGGUCAGUAUCCUUGGCUGGAUCUUUCCUUCUGGAGAGCCAUUAUGCCAUUUAUUUGGUGUUUUGGGGAUCCAGGACUUUUACCUUGAAAAAAUUAGAGUGUUUAAAGCAGGCAUACGCUUGAAUACAUUAGCAUGGAAUAAUAGAAUAGGACUUUGGUUCUAUUUUGUUGGUUUCUAGGACCGAAGUAAUGAUUAAUAGGGAUAGUUGGGGGCAUUAGUAUUUAAUUGUCAGAGGUGAAAUUCUUGGAUUUAUGAAAGACUAACUUCUG
rnacentral:rRNA from 1 species